GACGAACGCUGGCGGCGUGCCUAAUACAUGCAAGUCGAGCGAAGUUUUUCUGGUGCUUGCACUAGAAAAACUUAGCGGCGAACGGGUGAGUAACACGUAAAGAACCUGCCUCAUAGACUGGGACAACUAUUGGAAACGAUAGCUAAUACCGGAUAACAGUAUUUCUCGCAUGAGAGAUAUUUAAAAGUUGGUUAUGCUAACACUAUGAGAUGGCUUUGCGGUGCAUUAGCUAGUUGGUGGGGUAAAGGCCCACCAAGGCGACGAUGCAUAGCCGACCUGAGAGGGUGAUCGGCCACACUGGGACUGAGACACGGCCCAGACUCCUACGGGAGGCAGCAGUAGGGAAUCUUCCGCAAUGGGCGAAAGCCUGACGGAGCAGCGCCGCGUGAGUGAAGAAGGAUUUCGGUUCGUAAAGCUCUGUUGUUAGGGAAGAAUGGAUAUGUAGUAACUAUACAUGUAAGAGACGGUACCUAACCAGAAAGCCACGGCUAACUACGUG
rnacentral:rRNA from 1 species